ACUUGCCUUUGCGAGGGGGAUAACAGUUGGAAACGACUGCUAAUACCGCAUAAUGUCUUCGGACCAAACGGGGCUUCGGCUCCGGCGCAAAGAGAGGCCCAAGUGAGAUUAGCUAGUUGGUAAGGUAACGGCUUACCAAGGCGACGAUCUCUAGCUGUUCUGAGAGGAAGAUCAGCCACACUGGGACUGAGACACGGCCCAGACUCCUACGGGAGGCAGCAGUGGGGAAUAUUGCACAAUGGGGGAAACCCUGAUGCAGCCAUGCCGCGUGUGUGAAGAAGGCCUUCGGGUUGUAAAGCACUUUCAGUUGUGAGGAAAAGUUAGUAGUUAAUACCUGCUAGCCGUGACGUUAACAACAGAAGAAGCACCGGCUAACUCCGUGCCAGCAGCCGCGGUAAUACGGAGGGUGCGAGCGUUAAUCGGAAUUACUGGGCGUAAAGCGCACGCAGGCGGUUUGUUAAGCUAGAUGUGAAAGCCCCGGGCUCAACCUGGGAUGGUCAUUUAGAACUGGCAGACUAGAGUCUUGGAGAGGGGAGUGGAAUUCCAGGUGUAGCGGUGAAAUGCGUAGAUAUCUGGAGGAACAUCAGUGGAGAAGGCGACUCCCUGGCCAAAGACUGACGCUCAUGUGCGAAAGUGUGGGUAGCGAACAGGAUUAGAUACCCUGGUAGUCCACACCGUAAACGCUGUCUACUAGCUGUGUGUGUCUUUAAGACGUGCGUAGCGAAGCUAACGCGCUAAGUAGACCGCCUGGGGAGUACGGCCGCAAGGUUAAAACUCAAAUGAAUUGACGGGGGCCCGCACAAGCGGUGGAGCAUGUGGUUUAAUUUGAUGCAACGCGAAGAACCUUACCUACACUUGACAUGCUGAGAAGUUACUAGAGAUAGUUUCGUGCCUUCGGGAACUCAGACACAGGU
rnacentral:rRNA from 1 species